GCCGCGGUAGCCAAGCGGGAAGGCAAGGCUUGCAAAACCUUACGCGGCGGUUCGAUUCCGCCCCGCGGCUCCA
rnacentral:tRNA from 1 species